CGAAUGCUGACAUAAGUAACGAUAAAGCGGGUGAAAAGCCCGCUCGCCGGAAGACCAAGGGUUCCUGUCCAACGUUAAUCGGGGCAGGGUGAGUCGACCCCUAAGGCGAGGCCGAAAGGCGUAGUCGAUGGGAAACAGGUUAAUAUUCCUGUACUUGGUGUUACUGCGAAGGGGGGACGGAGAAGGCUAUGUUGGCCGGGCGACGGUUGUCCCGGUUUAAGCGUGUAGGCUGGUUUUCCAGGCAAAUCCGGAAAAUCAAGGCUGAGGCGUGAUGACGAGGCACUACGGUGCUGAAGCAACAAAUGCCCUGCUUCCAGGAAAAGCCUCUAAGCAUCAGGUAACAUCAAAUCGUACCCCAAACCGACACAGGUGGUCAGGUAGAGAAUACCAAGGCGCUUGAGAGAACUCGGGUGAAGGAACUAGGCAAAAUGGUGCCGUAACUUCGGGAGAAGGCACGCUGAUAUGUAGGUGAAGCGACUUGCUCGUGGAGCUGAAAUCAGUCGAAGAUACCAGCUGGCUGCAACUGUUUAUUAAAAACACAGCACUGUGCAAACACGAAAGUGGACGUAUACGGUGUGACGCCUGCCCGGUGCCGGAAGGUUAAUUGAUGGGGUUAGCGGUAACGCGAAGCUCUUGAUCGAAGCCCCGGUAAACGGCGGCCGUAACUAUAACGGUCCUAAGGUAGCGAAAUUCCUUGUCGGGUAAGUUCCGACCUGCACGAAUGGCGUAAUGAUGGCCAGGCUGUCUCCACCCGAGACUCAGUGAAAUUGAACUCGCUGUGAAGAUGCAGUGUACCCGCGGCAAGACGGAAAGACCCCGUGAACCUUUACUAUAGCUUGACACUGAACAUUGAGCCUUGAUGUGUAGGAUAGGUGGGAGGCUUUGAAGUGUGGACGCCAGUCUGCAUGGAGCCGGCCUUGAAAUACCACCCUUUAAUGUUUGAUGUUCUAACGUUGGCCCCUGAUCGGGGUUGCGGACAGUGUCUGGUGGGUAGUUUGACUGGGGCGGUCUCCUCCUAAAGAGUAACGGAGGAGCACGAAGGUUGGCUAAUCCUGGUCGGACAUCAGGAGGUUAGUGCAAUGGCAUAAGCCAGCUUGACUGCGAGCGUGACGGCGCGAGCAGGUGCGAAAGCAGGUCAUAGUGAUCCGGUGGUUCUGAAUGGAAGGGCCAUCGCUCAACGGAUAAAAGGUACUCCGGGGAUAACAGGCUGAUACCGCCCAAGAGUUCAUAUCGACGGCGGUGUUUGGCACCUCGAUGUCGGCUCAUCACAUCCUGGGGCUGAAGUAGGUCCCAAGGGUAUGGCUGUUCGCCAUUUAAAGUGGUACGCGAGCUGGGUUUAGAACGUCGUGAGACAGUUCGGUCCCUAUCUGCCGUGGGCGCUGGAGAACUGAGGGGGGCUGCUCCUAGUACGAGAGGACCGGAGUGGACGCAUCACUGGUGUUCGGGUUGUCAUGCCAAUGGCACUGCCCGGUA
rnacentral:rRNA from 1 species